rnacentral:misc_RNA from 1 species
AAGUCGUAACAAGGUUUCCGUAGGUGAACCUGCGGAAGGAUCAUUACCUUUCAGUACAGAAGCGUUGUGUUGGUUGAGUUGUGCCGGUUGAGUCUCGCUGACAAGUGGGAUUCCUGGUGGCAACUCCCUUCAUAAUUCUCCCUGUCUAUCAUCCUUGUCUUUUGCGUACUAUUGUUUCCUCGGUGGGCUUGCCCACCGGUUGGACAACCUUAUAACCUAUUUAAUUUUCAAUCAGCGUCUGAAAUAAUAUAAUAAUUACAACUUUCAACAACGGAUCUCUUGGUUCUG